GCCGGACUCCCGGCCCGAAGAUCGCGGUUCGGUUCCGCCUCUGAGCGGCCGCGGGGCUCCCGGCCUGGAAAGGGCGCUCGCGAGUCGCCUCCAGCAUCGCAGCAGCCCGGCUGAGGUUAAUCAGCAGCUGGUCGGUUACCGAUUGGUUCUCAGGGACUGGAAAUCAUCCCCAGGACAGAUGGGGAUAAUAACCCGGACCAGCUGGGAGGACGGAAGGAGAGGAUGCUGGAAAAGGUGCACUCAGCGCUGGCGCCCUGCACAGCACACUAGGGAAUCAGCAUCAUCCUUUGACCCAGGCCAGGCAAGCUGCAGGUUGUCAUCUCCAGAAGAGGCCAGAAAAUAGACAGUCUACAGGAAUAUUUACUGCGCUUGCAUGAGAAAAAUUUCCAAGCUACCCCCUGAAGCAAUGAAGUUGGAUAUGGAGCAAAUGGAAACAUUGUGAAAUUGCUUAUUUUCUUCCAAAAUUUGUUAUUUUUCUUCCUUAUUUUCUGUUAAAUCAGUGCCACUUAUUAGCAACCAUAUUUUUGCAUUAUAUACUCAGCAGAAUUUUCUCUCCGUGACUGUAUUCCAAAUUAAACUUUUACGUUUCCAGGAAAAGUGUAACAAAUGUUUAA
rnacentral:lncRNA from 1 species